AUGAGGUUCUUCAAUCUGGGAGUAUACAAAACUUCCAAAAUGUAUAACAGUCUUAGAGGAGAGAAACAACUUGUGCCUUGGAAGAAAAUGUUCUACAAGAACUUGGCAAGACCAAGGGCUCUUUUUUAUAUGUGGCUGUCCUUCACGGGGAGAAUUAAUACUAAGGAAAGAAUUCAUAAAUUUGGCAUUGCUACUGAUUUAAGGUGUGCUUUCUGCCAUGAACAAGAGAAUCUGGAUCACCUAUAUUUUGAUAGCCAAAUAACAAGGAAAAUAUGGAUUGAAUUUUGCAGUGGAUGGGUUAUUGAUGAAGACCAUCUGCUUGGUAUAAUGAAAAACAGUGGUUGA